UUUUACCAAUCAAUUGUUCCAAUAACAUGUUUUUAUGCAAAAACAUUCUGCUCCAGGAUCCAGUCCAGGGUCACAUGUUGUACUUAUUUCCUAGGUCUCUUCAGUUUUCUUUAAUCUGGGGGAUUCUUUAGUCUGGCUUUCUCUUUUGAGACCUUGACAUUUUGACCACGAUUUUGUAGCAUUUCCUCACCUAGGGGUUGUCUCAUGUUUCUUCCUGAUUAAACUGAGGUUGUGAAUUUCUGGCAGGAGAACCACAGAAGUGAGAUGAUGCCCUUUUCAGAGCAACGUCAGGAACACAUGCUUCCCAGCGCCACACAGUUAAGGAGAUGUCUGACAGUCCUCUUUUCUGUACAGGUAAUAUUUUUUUUGGACAUUCAGAACAAGGCUGAAAAGAGAAAGAGAGAGAAGGCAUUCUUAUCUUCUCACAGUCUUCAAGGGAAAGCUCUCAGCAUUUCAUAAUUGAGUACGUUU
rnacentral:lncRNA from 1 species